rnacentral:tRNA from 1 species
GCGGGCGUAGCUCAGUGGCAGAGCACCGGCCUUCCAAGCCGGCUACCGUAUCUAGCGCCCCU